rnacentral:tRNA from 1 species
GUCCUUGUAGCUUAACAAAAGCAUAACACUGAAGAUGUUAAGAUGGCCGCUACACGGACCCAAGGACA